rnacentral:rRNA from 1 species
UACGAGGGGGGGCGAGCGUUGUUCGGAAUUAUUGGGCGUAAAGGGUGCGUAGGCGGUUCCGCAAGUCCUGUGUGAAAUCUUCGGGCUCAACUCGAAGUCUGCACGGGAAACUGCGGGGCUUGAGUGUGGGAGAGGUGAGUGGAAUUCCCGGUGUAGCGGUGAAAUGCGUAGAUAUCGGGAAGGAACACCUGUGGCGAAAGCGGCUCACUGGACCAUAACUGA